UACGGAGGAUCCAAGCGUUAUCCGGAAUCAUUGGGUUUAAAGGGUCCGUAGGCGGUUUUGUAAGUCAGUGGUGAAAGCCCAUCGCUCAACGGUGGAACGGCCAUUGAUACUGCAAGACUUGAAUUAUUGGGAAGUAACUAGAAUAUGUAGUGUAGCGGUGAAAUGCUUAGAGAUUACAUGGAAUACCAAUUGCGAAGGCAGGUUACUACCAAUAUAUUGACGCCGAUGGACGAAAGCGUGGGGAGCGAACAGG
rnacentral:rRNA from 1 species